rnacentral:rRNA from 1 species
UACGGGGGGGCAAGCGUUGUUCGGAAUUACUGGGCGUAAAGGGCUCGUAGGUGGCCAACUAAGUCAGACGUGAAAUCCCUCGGCUUAACCGGGGAACUGCGUCUGAUACUGGAUGGCUUGAGUUCGGGAGAGGGAUGCGGAAUUCCAGGUGUAGCGGUGAAAUGCGUAGAUAUCUGGAGGAACACCGGUGGCGAAGGCGGCAUCCUGGACCGACACUGACGCUGACAGCGCGAAAGCCAGGGGAGCAAAACGGG